rnacentral:tRNA from 1 species
GCUCCGGUGGUGUAGUCCGGUUAAGCAUCUCGCCCUCUCAAGGCGAAGAUCACGGGUUCAAACGACUGGGAGGUUGGGAACAAAUCCCGUCCGGAGCA